ensembl:snRNA U6 U6 spliceosomal RNA
GUGCUCGCUUCAGCAGCAUGUAUACAAAAUUGGAAUGACACAGUGAAGAUUAGCAUGCUCCCUGUGCAAGGAUGACAUGCAAAUUCAUGAAGUGUUUCAUAUUUUA